GAUUGUCUGUAUCCGUACGACGAGACUACUGCUAAUAGUGCGCGAACUUAUGUUUCGUCGCUACUCUAGAGGGACUUGUGUGUUACACAAGGAAGCUGAGGCAAUAACAGGUCUGUGAUGCCUUAGAUGUCUGGGCUGCACGCGCGCUACACUGACACGAUCAACAAGUAUUUCCUUGCCCGGUAGGGUUAGGGUAAUCUUUUGAAAUCGUGUCGUGCUAGGGAUAGACGAUUGCAAUUAUUCGUCUUCAACGAGGAAUUCCUAGUAAAUGCAAGUCAUCAGCUUGCGUUGAUUACGUCCCUGCCCUUUGUACACACCGCCCGUCGCUCCUACCGAUUGAGUGAUCCGGUGAGCUGUCCGGACUGCGAUUAGUUCAGUUUCUGUUCUCUUCGCGGGAAGUUCUGCAAACCUUAUCACUUAGAGGAAGGAGAAGUCGUAACAAGGUUUCCGUAGGUGAACCUGCGGAAGGAUCAUUC
rnacentral:ncRNA from 1 species